ACGGCCAAACCACAUUGAAAACACCGGUUCUCGUCCGAUCACCGAAGUUAAGCAAUGUCGGGCCCGGUCAGUACUUGGGAGGGUGACCACCUGGGAACACCGGGUGCCGUAGGCU
rnacentral:rRNA from 1 species